rnacentral:tRNA from 1 species
GCGGGCGUGGCGGAAUGGCAGACGCGCCAGACUUAGGAUCUGGUGUCGCAAGGCGUAAGAGUUCGAGUCUCUUCGUCCGCA